rnacentral:lncRNA from 1 species
ACUGUGAGAGUUACCCGAAGCUCGGCGUCCGUGAGGGUCUAGGGGGCUUCCGAGGGGAUCGGGCAGUCAGUCUUCAGCCGCUAAGCCCAGAAGAUCUGGGAAGGAGUCAGCUCUGGGAGUGGCUGCCAGGUGAGUUGAACAGUCCGAUUUUCAGUGGGGUCCCACACAGAUGGGAUGCAGCUUAGGAGGAAUCCUGGAUUGUGGGCAUUCCUUGUCCUGGUGGCCAGAUUUCCAGCACGUGUAGCAAGCUCCUGUGGGAGGAGGUUCUGGAGGAACACCUGGCUGCUGCGGUUCAGGC